GGCGGAUUAGCCAAGUCGGAUGGC
rnacentral:tRNA from 1 species